AAGAAUACAAUUGAGAUUCUAAUUUUUACAGUCAAGCACAAACAGAAAAUCAACAUAAGAAAAAGGGUCUUGGUCCUUUGAGAUAGACAAAGACAAAGACACCAUACUAAAACGGAGAAGAAGGAAGAGACAAAAUCCAAUGAACCCGGCCAGCAAACACGACAACAGACGUGGCAACAAGUUGAUGGAAAGCUGUGUCAGUUUUGAGGCGAAUGGAGGCAGAAGAAACCUGACAACAUUUUCUUAUUUUGGUGGUUGUCCCUCCCAGAUAUUCAUGCAUGAGAAGGACAUGAACAAUUUUGAUUAAUCUUUUAAUUACCUGAAGGAGAGAAUUGCAUUCUCUUUGAUGGAUUUCUUUCUCCGAUCACAAGAUUGUAACAUGUUCAUUCCACAAAUUUUCCGAAUUUAAAUCCUCGCUUUGUGUCAUCACUUCCCUCAGUAUUCACACCUGAUCAUCAAUCAUACAAGGAAAAGAAACUCUGGCUUUUUCUCAAGAAUGCAAAGGGAUUAUAGCAUUUAAUAUAAUGA
rnacentral:lncRNA from 1 species